AAUAUUAUUUUUCGUCACUUCUCCAGGAUGUGUGAAUAUAUCUUUGUGGCUCUUGUACAUCACAUCUCCUGAUCGAGCAAAAUUGAGAAGACGACUAAGGAGAAGCAUUGGAACUGCAGUAGGUCUGAGGCACUCUUCAUUUAUAUCCUUCCAUGCAUUCUCGAUUUGCUUGUGAAACUCAUCAUAUGCUUGCUGCUCCGACACACCAUGUUGCUUCAUGUAAUAUUCGAUGUUUGAUGCAAUAUGCUCUCUCUCUUGCUCAAACUGCAGAAAUAGUAAUAUAAGGUGUUAAAAAGAAAUUGAUAUAUAAUAGAUUUUCUUUAUCUUUAUGGGAUUGAUAUCCAAGUAUCAGUAGGAAGUGUUGUUUCAUUGUACCUUGUGGGAAGCCAUGUCAUCCAUGAGCCUAAUGAUUAUGUAGGUAGCUCUAACAAUCUUAGGGUUUUGUAGCAGCCAAUCAAAGACUUCCUUGGUUGCAGUCUCUCUCAUGCCAAUAAAAGACAGGAUUGUUAACACGGGGCCAGCAAUAGUUACCAUUGCGAUACCAUUUGGCUUGGACCAAUUUAGCUUAGACCAAGCUUUUAAUUUAGGAUAAAAAUUCAGCCAAGUAAAUAUAUCAUGCAAGUGUUAUAUAUAGCAUUUUAUUUACAGUACAAUAUAGGAUAUCAUAAACACAAUAGAGUUCAGCGAAUCCUACUGCAUCUUUUGUAUGGUGGACACAGUAUGAUCUUUCUGUGUUUUCCAUCUCCUCAAUUUCUUUGUAGACAUCUAGGACUGCCUGAUAGCAUGGCUUCAUGUAUUCAGGAAGCUGAUGUAUGCUGUUAAUAUCCCACCUGAAAAUCAAGUACCAAGUUUCCUUUUAAAGUACAAAUAUGAAAUCAAUUCAUUGGUUGUGGGUAAUUUGAAUCUAGCAUAUAUCAAACCUCCCGAUUGCCUCUGUAAAGAGCUCCAGUUCUUCAAAUGUUCCAUAUGCAUCAAUUAUAUCACCCAUAGUUGUUACCAGAGCAACUACUUUGGUCUAUAUUCUUCUAGCAUAUGAAUUCUGGGGCUUAGAACAUGUUGAUGUCCAAAAGUAUGUUUCCACCACUCUUAUCUCUGGAAAAAGGUAGCUUUGAAGAGAAAUCUAGGUCUUUCCACCACCUGAGAAAAUACAUUAAUCCACAUAAAAGGCCUGGUAAACUGUUAAUUUAAAUUUAAGUGCAAGAAUGAUCUGAGAACUAACCUCGAGAUAUUGCUCAGCUCUCUCUUAUGCAGUGACUGCAGUAGGUUGAAGUGUAACUUUGCAAGCUUCAGUCAAGCUUUACUAUGUGAAGCUUCAUCCUGGUAGAUAGACAUGAAAGGCCUUGCCUCUAGUCUCUCCAAACCUUUCCUAAUGGGCCGGUAUAGGGCAUGAGUUACUUGUGCUGCAAGAGAGUAUUCUAAAUGUUCUACCAUAGACUUGAGGUAAGUGGUGGUGAAAGCAAGUGCUUCAUCUAGUAUAUCUUCUUCCCACACCCUGAGAUGUGCAGCUUCAUACAAGCCUAGUAGGCCAUAUGCAUCAUUGAUCAAAGACUCCUUGAACCUUCCCUUUUCAUCUGUGUACCUGUUGAAUAUAUCUGUAAUCAUCACCAAAACAUAGAAUUUUAUAUGUGAGCUUUGCUAGAUGAUAUUCAAGCACCUUAUAAUACAUGAUAUUCAUGAGGCUUACCACAUGAAACAUUGAAGCCUUGUUGUCUUAGUAGUCGAAAUCGAAGUGCAACAUCAUAGAGAUCAUCAUUUAUGUCAUCAAUGCAAUGAUAGUUAUCAUAGGUAUUUUGUAAUGCUUCUUCUAUCUCCUUUUCAAAGUGGUAUGCCACCCCAAGCCGUUGAACUGCAUCAUAGAGAUCAUCAUUUAUGUCAGCUGUUUUGAAGGGUUACUAGCUGCAGCCAUCAGCUCUCUUCUAACUUCCCCUUUUAGAUCUUCCAACUGCUGCUCUUUAUGGGCCAGAGUUAUCUGUAUCAAUAAAUUGCAAGAACAAAAAGUGAGAAAAUCUUUAGGUCUUGUUAUGCAAACUACAUACAUGAUCAGAAAAUCACCUCAUCCUCAGGAGUGUGGCUCACGAUGAAGGUAUUGCCCCAAAUGCUAGGCUGAUAAUUUGCAGUUCGGCGAUUAGUCUCUGGAUUAGCAACUGGGGCUGGAGAAGACCCGUUGCUGGUAGCGAGAAUUAAGGCCAUGUGUAACUCACUCGAGCACUCAAUAUAUGAAUCAGAUGGCUUGCAAUCUUCGGUAUUUAUAGGACGGGAAAUGGUUCAUUACAAUUAUUGAAUAUCAAUCCCAGAUUCCCAGAAGCAUGGAUACUAUUAAUUCAAGGUCACCUAUCAUAUUUAAACCAAGAUUCUUAAAAAUUAAAUAUUUAAAAUAUGGUUUUUGUUCUCUUAGAAAUACGAAGUGUAUCUUAUUCCCUUAAUAAUUCUCAAUAUUCAACCAGCCGCCAAACAGUGAUUAAGACUUUCUCACGCGAAGAUCAAACUUAUGAUUGAUCUUUUAUUGUCCAAUAAUAUCCUAAUAAUAAAAUAAUUUUGAUAUGACUAGGAAACUAAGUUCUUUUAUAUAAAAACCAAAAAUUAUUUUGGUACGAAGCCAUGAGAAACUAGCAGCCAAAUUAAAGCAAUUAGGCCAUGUUUGGUAUGAAGCCAAAGCAAUUAGGCCAUGUUUGGCACGAAGCCAAAACAUGACUAUAUUUGGUACGCAAAAAUGAAGAGUGAGAAUAGAUAUUUUAUCCAUUUUCUUAUUCAUUUUCAUAUUUGAAUGAUUUAAGUGUAGUAAGAAUAAAAUCAAGAAUAAUUUCAUAAAAAAUAAAAUCCCAAUUAUAAGUGGGAUUAUGAUUUAAAAGUUAAAAAUCAAAAACUUAUUUUGGAUAAGUUGUUUUAAAAAUAAUUUUUUAUUUUGAUUUUGUAAAAAAGAAAUUAUAAAUUCAAUUUAUAUAAUAUAAAAUAAAUUUAAUUCAAGUCUUAUAAAAAAAUAAAAAUAAUUUUGUUAAUUAUAAAUAAAUUUUAAAAAUAAAUAAUUUUUAAUAAAACAUGAAUAGGAUUUUAGGGAAAAAAAAAGUUAUCAAUUUCACUUUCAUAUUCAUGCAAUUCCAAAGUUUCGACAUUGAACUAGAAAUUUCUCUAUUCUUACAUGUAAAAAGGCAAAAAAGAAAAACCCUUAAUUAGUAAAAUGAUAAGUUAGUUGAAUUAUUUAAUUAUCCUAUAAAUGCAUCUAAUUUUUUACACAAUUAGUGGACCUAAGUAAAUUGUGUCAUACUUAAACGAACUUGAACUUCCAAUUUCAACCUAAUAAAAGAUCAUAACUUAUAAUUUUAUGAAGUAUAUAAUAAACAAGAAAGAAAAGAUGAAAAGGAAAAAACUAAAAUUAAUAGCUAAUAAUAAUAAUUAAAUAGUAAUAAUAAUAAUAAUUUUCAUAAUAAUGAAUUAAAUAAUAAUAACGCUAGCAACAACAAUAACAUUAAUAAUUCUCUAUAGAGUUAAAUAUUUAAUUAACUUUAAACACACUAGUUAGUGUCCAUUAUAAAGUGAAAAGAAAAUAUUUGGUGAGUAUUGUAGUACUCCAAAACACCAUUACACAUUAACAAGGAGAUCCAGAUUUGUUGUAGGCAUAUAUUCUACAUAUGUAUUUUAAGACUCAGUAUCAAUACUCCUCAUAUUGAAUGACAAUAAUAAAUAUGUAUUAAAGAAUAUAAUAUAAUAAAGUUUAUUAUAUAUAUAUAUAUAUAUAGAUAUAUAUUAGGUGAUUUAAGUAAUACAUAUUCUUAUUUAAAUAUUCAGGUAAUAUUCCAAAGUAAAACACUAUGAACCCAGAGAAACUAGGUGCUUCAUAUAAUGUGUCCCCUUGCCGUAUUACAAUGAUUUAUUUCAUAUUUCUACUCCUUCACCUUAUUAUAGUGAUUUAUUAGAUAUUACUGCUUCCACAAGGCAAUACACGGGAUGGUAAUCAACUACUACAUUUGGUUAUAUUACAGCGUUGAUGAAGACAGACGCAAUGUUAUCCCUCAUCACUUUCCCAACAUGUGUGUACGAAUCUUGCUCUUUGUAAAUGACAUCCAUGGUUCGUGUAAGAUUGAGAAGACGAGCAAGGAGAGGCAUUGAAACAGCAGUAGGUUUGAGGCAUUCCUGGUUAAUAUCCAGCCAUGCAUUCUCAAUUUGCUUUCGAAAUUCACUGUAUACUUGUUCCUCAGAGACACCAUAUUGCUUCAUGUAACAUUCAACAGCUGAGGCCACAUGCCCUCUCUUUUGCUCAAACUGCAUGUAUAAUACAAAAGUUGAGAAAAAACCAGUGUGUUAUAUUCUCCCCAUUUGAAUCAUAUAUUCUUCAUACCUUAUGUGAUUUGAUGUCAUCCAUGAGCCUCGUAAUGAAAUUUGAAGAUGACAUAAUCUUAGGAUCGCUGGUCACCCAAUCAAAGGCCUCCUUUGUUGCUAUUUCUCCCAUUCCCACAAAGGACGUGGUUGCAAGCAGGCAGUAUCCAGAGCUUGCUAGUGCAACACGCAUGUACUCUUCAAAUGCUGGUACGUGUUCUUCAUGUAACCAUUUGGCCUCGGCAAAGUAAGCUCGAACUUGAUUCUUCAUCUAAAGAACAUUCAUCCAAGUUAUAUCUAUGUAUAUAUGAGACCAUAUAAAAUAUCAUCAAUGAAAAAGGUGGGGAUCCAGAGUAAAAGAUGUCCUACUACUUCUUUGGCAUAGUGAACCCGAUAUUGGUUUCCUUCUUUCUCCAUCUCUUCCUCGAUUUCUUUGUACACAUCUAAGAGUGCCACAUAGCAGAGUUUCAUGUAUUCUGGAAGCUGAUUUAUGCUGUUAAUAUCCCAUCUGAAAAUAAAAUAAUGACCCUUGAUUUACGUAUAUAUAAAUACAUCUAUUAUACACAAUCAAGGUUGGUAAUGUGCAAGGAGCAAACCUCUCAAUGGCUUCUAUGAAGAGCUUGAGUUCUUCAGGUGUGCCAUAUGCAUCAUGGAUAUCAUCUAGAAUGGAUGUCAUGGCAAUUACUUUGGUUAGAAUUCGUCUACCCCGUAAGUAUUGGGGCUCAAAAUACACCCCAUGCAUCCAAAAGUAGCCUUCAACCAAUCUGUCUCGUGCAAAAGGUAACUUUGUAGCAAAGUCUAAUUCUUUCCACCACCUAAAAGACAUUAAUAUGAUCAGCAUACAGGAAAGUGAUAAGAAUGGCCAAGUACAUGUGGGGUGAUCUAAACACCAACCUUGCAAGAUUGCUUAGCUCUUCCUUGUGCAGUGACUGCACUAGAUUGAAAUCUAAUUUUCCUAGCUCUAGUAAAGUUUUAUCAUGGAAAGCUUCAUCUUGGUAGACAGAUAUAUACCAUCUUGCCUCUAGCCUCUCCAAACCUUUUCUAAUGGGCCGGUUCAGGGCAUGAGCAACUUGUUCUGCAAGAUGAUAUCCUAAACUUUCUACCAUGGCCUUGAGAUGAGUGGUGGUGAAAGCAAGUGCUUUUGCAAGUAUGUCCUCUCCAUGAACCCUCAGAUGUGCAGCUUCAUACAAGCCUAGCAUGCCUCUUACAUCGCUGAUCAAAGCUUCCUUGAAUCUACCUCGUUCAUCCGUAAACUUGUUGAAUAUAUCUACACAAACAUCACCACUUGAAAAUAAGACUUAAAUGAUAAGCGAUGAACCUGUGUACCUGUGGAAUAUAUCUGUAAUCAUCACCAAAACAAUGUUAUAUGUGAGCUUUGCUAGAUGAUAUUCAAGCACCUUAUAAUUCAUGAGGCUUACCACAUGAAAUAUUGAAGCCUUGUUGUCUUAGUCGAAAUCGAAGUGCAACAUCAUAGAGAUCAUCAUUUAUGUCAUCAAUGCAAUGAUAGUUAUCAUAGGUAUUUUGUAAUGCUUCUUCUAUCUCCUUUUCAAAGUGGUAUGCCACCCCAAGCCGUUGAACUGCAUCGAUAAACUUCAGCUGUUCUAAAGGGUGACUAGCUGCAGCUAUCAGCUCUCUUAUAACUACCUCCUUUAGAUCUUCCAACUGCUGCUCUUUAUGGGCCAGAGUUAUCUGUAUCAAUAAAUUGCAAGAACAAAAAGUGAGAAAAUCUUUAGGUCUUGUUAUGCAAACUACAUACAUGAUCAGAAAAUUACCUCAUCCUCAGGUGUGUUGCUCACGAUGAAGCUAUUGCCCCAAAUGCUAGGCUGAUAAUUUGCAGUUCGGCGAUUAGUCCCUGGAUUAGCAACUGGGGCUGAAGAAGACCCAUUGCUGGUAGCGAGAAUUAAGACCAUGUGUAACUCACUCGAGCACUCAAUAUAUGAAUCAGAUAGCUUGCAAUGUUCGGUAUUUAUAGGAUGGGAAAUGGUUCAUUACAAUUAUUGAAUAUCAAUCCCAGAUUCCCAGUAGCAUGGAUACAAUUAAUUCAAGAUCACCUAUCAUAUUUAAACCACGUUUAUUAAAAAUUAAAUAUUUAAAAUAUGUUUUUUGUUCUCUUAGAAAUACGAAAAGUGUAUCUUAUUCCCUCAAUAAUUCUCAAUAUUCAACCAGCCACCAAACAGUGAUUAAGACUUUUUCACGUGAAGAUAAAACUUAUGAUUGAUAUUAUUUUUAUAAAAACACUAAAAAACUAUUUUUUGCUUUUUAACUUUUUGGCAAAUAAAUGAAGAAGAAUACAAAAAAAAAUUGAAAAAAAAGUAAAUAAAUAAAGAAGAUGAUAUUUUAAUUUUUAUUUAAUAUCUUAAUUUUUAUUAUCUAAAAUUAUUUAAUUAUUAUAAUUAAUGAUAUUUUGAGUUUAAUUAUGAUUAAAUAUAUAAUUAAAUUAACUAUAUAUAAAAGUCUUAAAUUGAGAUAAGUUGAUAAAUGAUUGAUUGUGGAUUGAAAUUUUACUCCUAAAAUAUGCAUGUGGCUUUCGGUUGUCAAGGCAUAUGUUGGGAAGCAGUUAUGCUUGGUUACGAGUUAUAUAAGCUUACGGCUUUAGAUUUGCAUGAUUAUCUUUCUUUGAAUGAGACAGUUACGAAGAAGGGGGCUUGCCAUUCCACUUUUAUUCAAACUGUUUGUCCUUAUUCUCAACAAAGGAAGCAUUUUAUUCAAAACAGAACACUCUAAAAGUUUGAAAAUCUAGCAGCCAAAUUAAAGCAAUUAGGCCAUGUUUGGUACGAAGCCAAAGUAAUUAGGCCAUGUUUGGCAUGAAGCCAAAUCACGACCAUGUUUGGUACAUAGAAAUGAAGAGUGGAAAUAGAUAUUUUAUUCAUUUUCUCAUUCAUUUUUAUAUUUGGAUGAUUUAAGUAUGAUAAGAAUAAAAUCAAAAAUAAUUUCAAAAGAAAUGAAAUCCUACUUAUAAGUGGGAUUAUAAUUCAUCUCUAGAAGGAGUUAUUUUACUUCAUUAUUACAAGUUAAAAUUAUAAAUAAAUUAUAAAAAUAAAUAUUUUUUAAUAAAAUAUGAAUAGGAAUAUCAUAAUAUAAUCAUAAAUUUUAUUUUUAAUAAAUAUUAUAAAAAUAUGGAUAUUAACAUCUUAUAAAAGCAUAAUUGAUUUAUUUUGUUAAAAAUAAAUAAUAAUAAUUUAAAAUUUAUAAUUACUUAUACUAUUUUUUUAAAUUAUUAUACUUACUACUUUGUUUUAAAAAAUUAUUUCGAGAACAAUAACUGGCAGUGGUAUUAAUUUUUAAAAACAAUUUUAUUUUUAAAAGAAAAGCCUAAAUAGGUUUUUAUUAUUUAGCAAAAAAAAAAAACCUCUCAAAUAUUUUCUUUUUUAAAUGAAAAUAAAAAAAUUAAUUUAAAUGAUGUAUUCUGUAAGAGUUUUUUUUUUUUUUUUUUGAAAUAAAAAUAAAAGAUUAAAGACACUAUAAAUUAUGAUUAAAAUAAUGAAAAUUAAUAAAAAGAUAUUGGCUUUUUUCUUAAAUACGAAAUAUUAAAAAAAAAAAGAUAAAUAAAUAAUAUAACUAUGUAUUUUUUUUUUUCUUACAAGAAUUUUCAUAGCUUUAAAAAUAGUAACCUUUUAAUUUUUUUGCUCUUAUUUAUUAUUAACCGAGUUGUAUAAAUUGCAUUAUAAUAGUUUCCUUUAAAACCAAAAUAAAAAUCAAAACAUGUGCUUCAUGACACUAUUGGAUGAAAAAGAAUCACUUAAUUUUCAUCUACUAGAUCCCAGCUGCCACCUAAUAUUAAUGACUUGUUUGGAUAUGUUGAGUUAAUUUAACCAAAGAGACUCUAGAAGGCUAAUAUUUUUCUUGCCAUCAGUCUCUUCCGUGCACAACCCUUUCAAAUCAUGGGCCCCAAAACUAAACCAAAUUCCACAUACUUUUCAACUAAAUACAACCAAUGAAUGCCAGUGCUGCCCUAUAAAUAAUAUGGAGCUUGCCAAGCUAUUUCUCUCAUACUUACCAAUUCAUCAUUCAAGGUAUAAUACUGUUCUAUCAUUGUUCCAAGGAAUUAACAUGUCUACUCAAGUCUCAGCAUCUUCUCUAAAAACAAAUGUUGUGUGCUACAUUUCUACACUGACUUUUAUGUUUUAUGAUAGCGCUUGAAGAGCAGUUCAGGUACGCACCCUAACUCUCCUUUAUUGCAAUUUGAUCGUGUUUGGCAUGCCACUUUUUAAAAUCAUCUAGCCUAUUUAGGUAUCUAUAAUUAGCUGAUUAAUUGCCACACUUCCCUUAACUUUGUCAGUAGAGACCUUUAUAGGGCUUAGAGGGGUGCUACCUUUUAAAGGUACCUUCCCAAUAGGUAACCUGAUCCUCGGAUUUAGACUCGGGUUUUUCAAAGAUACGCUUUUCUAAAAUUUAUGGAGUCAUUUCUUAGGGUUUUAUUUCUUGUUUUAUUUUCCCUUUAAAAUAAAAAUAAAAUAAGUGGUGACUCCAACUUUUUUUCCAAAAAUCAAUUUUUCACCAAUAAAAAGCAAGUCUCACCGAUCGAGUGGGGGCGCACAUGAAAAAUGCGGGUCCACAAUCGACAAUAAAUCGACGAUUUUUUGGGCAAUUUUUUGAAAUUUCUUCCUACUGCAUCCAACGGUCAGAUUUGAAUUUUUGACGAUUCGAUGGCCCAGAUUUCACCUGUGUUUUUUAUAAAGGCAUCCAAUAGUCAGAAAUUGGUUUUCAACAAGAGUUUUAAAUUGGAAAAAAGUGGAGUAAACCUGAUCCUUAGUGAGGAGCAAAUAGAACCAUACAAACCUAGAGUAAUCAUCCAUGAGCAACAGAAAAUACCGGGCACCUGUGGAAGAAGGAACAGGUGCUGGUCCCCACAAGUCUGCAUGGAUGAGUUCAAGAGGAGAGGAGGCCCGGGAAAUGGACAAAGAAAAAGGAACUUUGUGACUUUUGGCACAACAACAAGCAUUGUAAACAUCAACUGUUUUAUUUGAGUUAUGUGAAAUAUUACAUGUAUGAAAAAUUUUCUGAAGAAUUACAGCAGAAGGGUGGCCAAAUUGUUGAUGCCACAGCAUAGUAGUGGGUUGAGUUUUUGUGAGAAAUACUUGAUGUUUAAGACUGGCAGUAGGUGAACUGAUAGAUGAGGUAGGAAACUUGUAGAGUCCACGUUCAAGUUGGCCUUGGAGGAGAGUCACUUUGGUGUCCUUAUCCUUGACAAAAAAUGAAGAAGGAUGAAAUUCCAUAAUGGUAUUAUUGUCAGUACAAAAUUUUGACACACUGAUGAGAUUUGAAGUGAGUUGUGGAACAUAGAGCACAUUGUGUAAGACAAAGGGUUUGGCAGAAGUGUGGAGAAAGGAAUGACCAACUUGGGUUAUGGGUAGAGACUUACCAUUGUCAACCAUCACAGAGUCAGUACCAUUGUAGGGAGUACCAUUGUGGAUAUUAGCAGCCGUGUGGGAGAGAUGGUGGGUGGCGCUUGAAUCCAAAAACCAAGAGUCCAUUAAUGUUGGGGAAGGUGCUGCCAUCAUAGCUUGAGCAAGAGGAAUGGGACCAAUUUGAGAGGUUGAUGAGGCUGGUGCACGUGGCCCUUGAUAAUUCACAUCAAAUCUGUGAUAACAAGAGAGGACCAUGUGCCCAAACUUGCCACAUAACUGACACUGCGGUCGGUUAUUUGUCCGGGAUCGAUUAUUGUUGAAUCGGUUAGGGCGAUAUCCUUGAGGAUAUUGCUGCCGUGAAUCCAGAAGAGUGUCAGGUCGUAUGGUUGGCAUGAACGACUGAGGUGGUUUCCCUUGAGAGGGUUUUUUGGACUGUGACCUUCGUGGUCUAUUAUGAGUUGCAAAGUUGGCAAUGAGGAGGUCUUCUUCAGUAGGCGUGGUUUGAAGAGGCAGCCUCUGUUCAUGAGUCAAAAGGAUGCUAUGUACUGCAUGAAGCUGAAUGUCAUCAUCUCUAGUAGUGAGAGAAGCUAUGAUGGGGUUGUAUUCAGCCCCUAAUCCACUCAGUAAUUGAAGGAUUUGAUCCUUUUCUGGCACUGGUUCUCCAAUAGCUGCCAGACUAUCAGAGAUGUGUUUGAGUUUUUGGAUGUAUUCCAUCAUGGUGAGAGAGCCUUUUUUGUUUGUUUGAAAAGCAAGUCUCAACUGCAUUGUUCUUGCUUUGGUGGAAGCAGAAAAGCUUCGUUGGAGGGCUGUCCAUGCUUCAUGGGAUGUUUGUAGCCCAACAAUUUGACCCAUAACAUCUGGGGUGAGAGAGGAGUAGAUCCAACUCAGGAUCAUACGGUCAUAUCUCCUCCAAACCAGAAAAUCUGGGUUCACUUCACCGGUGGAUAUUGUUUUUGGAGGACAUGGUCUCAGACCUUCAAUAUGGUCCUCAAAUCCAUUGGCAUAUAUCACAUUUUCCAUUUGUGUAUGCCAAAGGAUAUGAUUAUCUCUAUCUAGUUUGAUAGGAAGAGGAUGAUUCAGCAUGCUCAUGUUCAGGGUAGGGAUUACCUGAGAAGAGACAAUCUCCAGCGUGGUCUGUGUUGAUGAAGCCAUCGGAGUAGGUACAGUAUGUUCUUGAAGUGAGUAAGCAAAGAUCAAAAGAAAGUUGCAGCAGAAAAUGUUGCUGGAGAUUUCUUAAUUGUCUUGCUGGGAGAGAAAUCAGAAAAAAAAAUUCAGGAGCCUAUGGCUCUGAUACCAUGAAAGUGCUCAGGCACGGAUUUAGCAAGAAUAAGGAGUUUAUUCUAUUCACAACAUGAUUGUACAGUAUAUCAAUAGCUAUAUAUAUAUAUAUAUAUUACAGCAUCUAACUAAUCUAACCAUCUAACUAAUCUAACCACUUUCUAACUCGGCAUAACAGCAUCUGUUAGAGAAGACUCAGCAUAACAGCAUCUGUUAGGGAGGAGAAGAAUUAGCUACUAACAUGGGUGUUUGUCUAUCAAUACUUGAAAAAGCACUUGCUUUCACCACCACUCAUCUCGAGGCCAUGGUAGAAAGUUUAGGAUAUCAUCUUGCAGAACAAGUUGCUCAUGCCCUGAACCAACCCAUUAGAAAAGGUUUGGAGAGGCUAGAGGCAAGAUGGUAUAUAUCUGUCUACCAAGAUGAAGCUUUCCAUGAUAAAACUUUACUGGAGCUAGCAAAAUUAGAUUUCAAUCUAGUGCAGCCACUGCACAAGGAAGAGCUAAGCAAUCUUGCAAGGUUGGUUUUUAGAUCAUAUUAAUGUCUUUUAGGUGGUGGAAAGAAUUAGACUUUGCUACAAAGUUACCUUUUGCAUGAGACAGAUUGGUUGAAUGCUACUUUUGGAUACUUGGGGUGUAUUGUGAGCCUCAAUACUUACGGGGUAGAUGAAUUCUAACCAAAGUAAUUGCCAUGACAUCCAUUCUAGAUGAUAUCCAUGAUGCAUAUGGAACACCUGAAGAACUCAAGCUCUUCAUAGAAGCCAUUGAGAGGUUUGCUCCUUGCACAUUACCAACCUUGAUUGUGUAUAAUAGAUGUAUUUAUAUAUACGUAAAUCAAGGGUCAUUAUUUUAUUUUCAAGUGGGAUAUUAACAACAUAGAUCAGCUUCCAGAAUACAUGAAACUCUGCUAUGCGGCACUCUUAGAUGUGUACAAAGAAAUCGAGGAAGAGAUGGAGAAAGAAGGAAACCAAUAUGGGGUUCACCAUGCCAAAGAAGUAGUAGGACAUCUUAACUCUGGAUCCCCACCUUUUUCAUUGGUGAUAUUUUAUAUGGUCUCAUAUAUACAUAGAUAUAACUUGGAUGAAUGUUCUUUAGAUGAAGAAUCAAGUUCGAGCUUAUUUUGCUGAUGCCAAAUACACAAGUACUUGGAUAUGGAGUACAAAGAUAUGGAAGCUUAUGUUAAUAUUCAAAGAGAAAAGUGGAAGACUUAUGGAUGCACAAUUAUGUGUGAUGGAUGGACUAGGCCCACAAAAUUAAGCAUAAUUAAUUUCAUGGUAUAUUCGAAAGGUAGGACAAUCUUUCUCAAAUUUGUCGAUGCAUCAAAUUAUAUAAAAGACAACAAAUACAUAUAUGGUUUGUUGAAGGAUGUGAUCAAGGAAGUUGGCAAACAAAAUGUGGUACAAAUAGUUACGAAUAAUGGUUCGGCAUUUGUGAAAGUAGGAAGCUGUUAAUGAAGAAAUAUAAUUUAUAUUGGACUCCAUGUGCAGCAUAUUGCAUUGACUUAAUGUUUGAAGACAUCAAUAAAAGGUCGAGUAUUGCAAAUGUGAUUACAAAGGCUCAAAAGAUAACCAACUUCAUCUAUAACCAUAGUUGGUUGUUUGCGUAGAUGUAGAAGGUGUGAUGGAGACAUGGUUCGCCCUAGAACAAUAAGAUUUUCAACCAAUUAUAUUGCCCUUGAGAGUCUUUUGAAAAAAAAUGUGGACUUGAAGAACGUGUUUAUCAAUGAUGAAAGAGCACAACACAAGUUAAGUCGACAAAGAGGUUGAAAAACUUAUGUUUGACCUUGCAUACUGGGAGAGAAUGGGAAAGCUAGUGUCAAUUUAUAAAGCACUAUACACGAUUCUUCACAUUGUCGAUUUAGAAGUUGUUCCUACAAUGCCAUUUAUGUAUAAAUUGAUUCGAUUUAUGAAAGAAAACCUCAUUCGGUUUAAUGUUAGAGAAUGGGUGUUAGAAAUAAUUGCAGAUUGUUGGGAUAGAACUCUUAAACAUCCUCUUCAUGCAAUAGGUAACUAAGUAUUAUCCAUCUUUAAAAGUUAUCGGUAUUUAAUAUGUUUCUUUCGUAACAUUCUAAUUCUACAUUUUUACUUUACUAUUGUAGCAUUAUUUCUUAAUCCAAGGUUUCAAUAUAAACGUGGAGUUGGUACUAAUCUUCAUCUACUUCAAAUUGUUCAUGAAAUCUUUGUGAAAUUAGAUCCUACAGUAGAAGGUCUUAGUCAAUUUGGAAAUGAGAUAAAUUAUUAGAGUUAUAAUAUAAAUUAAAUAAUUGAAUUUCAUUUACUCAAUUUUUUACUUUCAAUUAUUUAAUAUGUAGCUUAUACUAUUUCGAGAUCCAAAGAGAGGAUUCGGUGAUCGAGCAGCGAUUCCUUCGAGGUCAGAAAUGGUUUUCAAUGAGUAUUAUUUGUGAAUUAAAAUACAUUUCAUUAGCAUAUUAUUGUAGAUUUCCAAUAUAAAUAUUGAUAUCAUUUAUUUGGUUGUAGUUGAAUAAUGGUUCAUGUAUGGAAACUAGACUCCUACAUUAAGAAGGUUGGCCAUCAAGGUUUUAUCACAAACUGUGUCAUUUUCAGCUUAUGAGAGAAGUUGAAGCAUGUUUGCUUUAAUUCAUACAAAGCAAAGAAAUUGGCUUUCUUACCCAAGGCUCUAACAAUUAGUUUUAUGUUAUUAUAACAUGAAACUAAAGAUCCGUGAUAUGGAGGUAGAGAAUGACAAAGUUGUGGAGAAAGAUUACAUCGAUUUACUUGACAUUUCAACCGAGGUAGGUCAAGAAAAAGAUAACCAAUUAUUUCAAUGAGUUAGACCUCUUCGUUUAGAUGAUGAAGAUGGAAAUCCAGACUCACGAAUUGUCACACAUGUUCGAGAAACAGGUGUUGAUGUUGAAUGAGUGUUAUCUAAAGAAGUUCAUACUAAUAGUUUCAACCAAGACACGAGAGAUUCAUUUCAACAAGGAACUUCUUAGCUGACAAUCACUUAUUGACCUUCUUUUGACUCCACGAGUGUUGAACAUAGUAGCAGACCUAAUGUUGUUGGUACUUUUGCUUUCAGUUAUGAUGGUUCAAGAUGAGAGGGGACCAAUGAUGGUAGCGACCUUGGAAAUGAUGGAGGGGAUGUUAGACAACAACAACAAAGUGGACAACCAUUGACAUUUACUUGUGAAGAUGAUUUCACACAUUAUACUCAAGAUGAAGACCACAACUCUAGAAGAGUUGGUCCGGGUGUUGGAGCCAUUGGAAAGCCAUAUAGAGGAAGAUAACGAAGGAUGACACCAUACAAUGAGGACUCAUUGUCGGCCAAUUUUAAGUUAAUGAGUAUAGAGACUCAAUUCAGUGACUCGUCAAAUGAAGCCAACAUUUAUGCCCUUUUUGUAAUGAGUUAUGGUCAGCCUCUUCCAAAUCUUUCAAGUUCCAUUAAUAAAGAGUACGAAAGGUAUAACUAUCCUAUUUCCACACAAAUGUCGUACUACUUUCCAUAUCAGAUGCAACAAUAAGGAUUUCAAACGAACACAUGGGAAAACCCUAGAUUUCCCAUCCAUAGAGAGGUUGUGGGUAGGACUCAAGAAAUUUAUGCAUGGCAUGUUCGUACUUACAAUCAAUACUAUCAAAACUCCAUGUCCUAGUAUGAAUAUUGUCUUCAACAAGAUAGGCACCCUUCAUCUAACAAUAUGAUGGAACCACAUUGAUAUUCAUUUUGGUAUUAAGGAUUAUUGCAAUGUCAUAUGUAUUAUGUUUAUGUAUAAAUUGUUUUCAUUUAAUAAAAUCACAUAUUUCUUAACUCAAUUCUAACUUUCUAAGUGUACAAUUCCAAAAUUCAUAUUUUCUAUUCUUAAUAUCCAAGUAUCGAAUCUACUGAUAUAUCUCUGUUUAUCGAUAUUUUUCUCCUUAACCAUAUUCAUGCCAAUUACACUUACAAAAUAACUUUAACAUGUGUAUUCUUGCUUAUUUUACAUUUUUUGGAGUUUUCCAAACAUUCCCAUCAAUUUUGAAUAAUUUUCGUCUUACUGAUAUUUGUGUAAAAAUAUUCACUGAUAUUUCUCUAGUAUUUCUUAUAUAUCUAUAAAAUCUAUCCUGGUACAUCUUCCUCAUUAUCUAAUUAUUUUUAACUAAUUUUUUCUUAAUGUAAAGAUUUAAUUAAUUCUAAUUAAACUUUCUACAAAAUAUCUACUACUAAUUAUCAUCAAACUAAUUAAUUUUAGUUAAUUUUAAUUAAUAUACUAAUCACAAUUAACCUCAAAAUAUCAUUAAUUAGAAUAAUUAAAUCAUUUUAGAUAAUUAAAAUCAAGAUAUUAAAUAAAAAAUAAAAUAUCAUCUUCUUCUUUUUUUAAUCUUCUUCAUCUAUUUCCCAAAUUAAAACCUAAAUUUCCAAAUCAAAUCCUAAAUGGAAAAAAUUCUAAAUACUAAAAUUUCUUUCAAAUCUUUAUGCAGUUCCCAAAUGAAACCUUAAAUGGACAAAAAGAAAAUCUAAUUUUAAAUCUCUAUGCUCCUCCUAAAUCAUGCAAACCUUAAAUAGGAGAAAAAAAAAAUCUACACCCUAAUUCUAAUCCUAAAUUUCCUUUUUAAUUUUUGUGUACUUCUCAAAUCAAAGAAAAAUAUUAUGAAGCCUAAAUAAAUAAAGUGCACUGCUUAUGUGAGAAGAAAGCAAGGUGCUCCAAAUUUAAGUGAGAAAAAAAAACAAGUACGGCCUUGGGAAGAUAGGAAAGGUAUGCUAAGAAUUCUAAAGAAGAUAGAGGGCAUGUUGCCUCAUCCAUUGAAUGCUAUGUGAAGUAAUAUAGUGUCUUAGAACAACAGGCUUAUGAUGAGUUUAACAAGCAAAUUGCGAAUCCAUGGAAGGAUAUUGCAUCCUUAUUCAUUGACUAUGUGCCGGUAUGAGCAAAUAAAUGAAAGUUAAUUCCAGCUUCUUCCAUAUUGUCCCCAAUAGAAAGGGAAUAAUAUGUAUUAACGUCAUUGUAAUAAGAUUGGAAUAAGAACAUGUUUGGCAUUUGAAAAUAAGGAAUGGGAAUGAAAUUUUUUUUUCCAUUCCUAUUUCUUCUUAAAUAAGAAUAAAUUUGAUAAUUUCAAUUAUUGUAUUUGGAUACAGAAAGCAAUGUAAGGUUUGUAAAGUUUGAAUUAUUAUUUGUUUUUAUUUCAAUGUUAAAGUAAAAACGGGAAUGAUAACAAAAUAAAUAAAUAAAUAAAUUGGCAAUAAUAUUCAUACAUAUAAUUUAAAAUAAUCUUUUAUUUUUAAUUCAAAAAAAAAAAAUCUCUUACACAAUACAUCAUUUUUAUAGUUUUUUUUAUUUUCAUUUAAAAAAGGAAAAUGUUAAAUUUUUCAAAAGUUUCAUGGAAUUUAAGGCCGAUGGAUAUGAAUUUAUUAUCCUUGUCUAUGAUAAGAAAAAUUAUAAUUGAUGUAGAGAGUAAUCUUGGAGCAUAUAGAUUUUUCCUGAAAGGUUCACAAUGUGCUAAUCAUAUUAAUGUAUUUUUGGUGGUUGAAAGAAUUGGACUUGGGAAGGUUAAUUGUGGAUGGUUGGGAUGCACUUUGAGUCUCAUACAUACAUGGAUCUAACUUGGAUGAAUGUUCUUCACUUGAACUUUUCAGAAAUCUGAUGUUCAAAGCUUGCCCAAUCAUCCCAAGCUUCCUAUACUUUUCAAAAAAAAGGUAGAAUAAUUUUUUUCUUCUUUUACUUAGCUUAGUUUGAAUUUAAUUUUUCAAUUAUGAAUAAUUAGAAAUAUAUGCACACAUCUUUGGACAUGUCAUAUGACACUUGAGAGAAUUACCCAAACUCUCAUGAACUUAGGUUGGAAGAAUGACUACUUAAUAGUGAGAACCUUCAAUUUUCCAAGGAUUUUUUAUAAAUGUAUGGAAUUUUUAAAAAUUAUUUUCUAAAAUACUAUAAAUCAGAAAAUAAUUCCAAUUUUACGAUACUUUAGACACAUAGGAGAAAUGUGGAAAAAAUAUAUAUUAUAUUUUAACUUUUUUGACUCAACCUAUUUUUAUAUAUCUUGAAUUUGAUUUUAUGUUAAAGGUGUUUCUUCAAGAAAUAUUUUUCACAAAUUUUAAAUUUGCGAUAUAUACUUAAAAAAUUGAAUUUAAACUAAAAAUGUUUUUUCAAAAGACAUUCUCUAUAAUUUUAGAAAAUUGGAUUUAUAGUAAAAGGUGUCUUUUGAAAACACUAUUUACACAAUUUCACAAAAUCUAAUAUAUACUAAAGGUGUCUCUUGAAAAGACAAUUUUCACAAUUUUAAAAAAAUCAAUACAUACUAACGGUGUCUCUUGAAGAGACACCUUCCACAAUUUCAGAAAUUUUAAUUUAUACUACAAGUGUCUCUUGAAUUUGAUUUUAUAUAGAAGACAUCUUUCACAAUUCCAAAAAAAAAAAAAAUCCAAUAUAUACUAAAGGUGUCUCUACACCUUUCACAAUUUUACAAAUUUUAAUUUAUAUUACAAGUGUCCCUUAAUUUUGAUUUUAUAUUGAAGGCAAACACUUUCUAAAAUUCAAAAAAAAAAAAAAAAUUGGAUUUAUAUUAAAGAUGUCUCUUAAAGAGGCACCUUCUACGAUUUCACAAAAUCCAAUAUAUAUUAAAGGUAUUUCUUCAAAAUGCAUCUUUUAUAUAAAAUUAAAUUUAUUAAAUUUAAGAAACGCUUAUAGUAUAAAUUAAAAUUUUUGAAAUUGUUGAAGGUAAAAAUUAAAAAUAAAAAUAAAAUUCAAGACACCUUUAGUAUAUAUUGGAAUUUGUAGAAUUGUGGAAAAUGUUUUUUUUAAGAGAUACAUUUAGUAUAAAUCCAAUUUUUUUUUAGAAUUAUAGAAAGUGUCUUUUUUAAUAUAAAAUCAAAUCCAAGAAACACUUGUAAUAUAGAUUAAAACUUGUUGUGAAAAGUGUUUCUUGAAGAGAUACCUUUAGUAUAAAUCUAUUUUUUUUUCAAUAUAAAAUAAAAUUCAAGAGACAUUUGUAAUAUAAAUUAAAAUUUGUUAACUUGUGGAAGGUAUCUCUUGAAGGGACACCUUUAGCAUAUAUCAGAUUUUGUAAAAUUAUGAAAAAGUCUUUUCAAGAGAUACUUUCAUUAUAAAUCCAAUUUUUUUGUAAAAUUGUGAAAAAGUCUUUUCAAGAGAUACUUUCAUUAUAAAUCCAAUUUUUUUGAAUUGUAGGUGUCUCUUAAAGAAACACUUUUAAUUUAAAUUCAAUUCUUCUAAGUGAAUAUAAAAUAUUUGAAAAUUAUAGAAAGUCUCUUCAAAAAAACUUUUUACAUACUACGUAAAUCUAUCAAUAUUUUUUCAACUAUCAUUUUUAAAGAAUUAUUUUUUAAAUUUACAGGAUGAGUUAAAAAAACCCCAAUUUUCCAAACAAUAACUUCAUCCCUGCGGUAACCUCAACCAAGUUUCUACGAGCCUAUAACUAAUAUUGAAUUUGGGGGGACUAUUAAUACCUUCAUGGAAUAGCAAGUCUUCGUCAAUGAUCACAUUAUACACGCAUUAGCUAGAAGAAAUAAUGUAUUUCGUACGUGAGCUUUUAAUUUCUUUUCAUCAUCAAAGGUCCUUUCCUUUGAAAGUAUUCAUGGUCCAUAUCAUUAUCUUUCAUGCCAGUGUUAGGCCAAUUUAUGAAUUUGGACCCCUUAUUUCACCAUAUAUAGCUAUUGUGAACAUGAUGGACCAUCUAACUUCAAUAAUUUAGCUUCAAUCAAAUUUUUAGAAUAAUCACCUCAAAUCAAGUUAGACAUGUUAUUACUAAGAUUUGGUAUAUCCUCUAAUUCUCUUAAAUAUUAAAGUCAUUAAAUCAGUAAAUAAGUGAGUUUCUUUCUAUUAUAAGUUUGACUUAAAAGAUAUUUAAUAAAUCUAUAUAAUGAUUUAAUAUAACUUAAUUACUUAUUUUAAAUAAUACGAGCAAUUUACAAUAAUAAAUGAAAAUAAAUAAUUUUUCUAAACCAUAAAUAUCAUUUGAUUUAGUUACUUAUGUUUUUUCUCUUCUUCUCUUUCAACAUUUUAUUUGCUGAUAUUAUUUAAAGUAAAAUAAGUCGAACAAUUUAAGGGUAGAAAUUUUAUUGGGGUUCGAUGUUCUAGGAACCAUAUACUUGAAAAGUCUAAAAUACACUUCGAUGCAUGGAUAUAACUUGGAUGAAUGUUCUUCACUUGAAGAAUCAAGUCAAGCUUACUUUGCUGAGGCAAAAUGAUUUCAUGGAUUAUUCUUAUUAUUAUUACUAGUACUACUCCUUUGUGUUAGACAUCCUUAAUGUUAUAUCACCGAGGGUAUGAAUAUUUUUUUUUUUUUUUCCCUCUUCUUUCUUAGUGCUGUUUUAUUAUAUGCUUCAGAAAAUUUCAGGUUCGAUGUCGAAACUUUGUCUAAAAACAUUGUUGAAAUCAACUAUGGUCUAUGACAAAUAGUGAAUAUAACAUACAACAAAGUACGUACUUUAGAAUUGCAGGAACAUACAAUAACCUACAAUAUCACUGUAUUAGACUGAUAUACUUCUUGAUUUUUUUUUCUAAAAAACUACGUUUGAUUUUUUGCAAUAAAUUUGUUUGACAGCUCCAUUCAGUUGUCAUGUGAUAUAUGAGGGACCAACUAAAGUAAUCCGUGAACCGACAAGAGUUGUGGAAACGUCAGCUCAAUAGGAUGAGAUGAUGCGGAUGAGUCAACACACAACAGUGGAUUAAUUCUGAGAAGUUAAAUAAUCAGCUAGCUUGGAAAUUGGCUUUAAGAGAAAAGCCAUGGAUGGAAUCUUAGAAGAUCUCAAGGAAUAUUAGGGGAUGCCUUCGUCUACAAUAUCAGAGAAUGAAGAGGAAUAUGGCUUUUCAGAAAUCUGAUGUUCAAAGCUUCCCCGAUCAUCCCAAGCUUCCAAUACUUAUCCAAAAAAGGUAGAAUAAUUUUUUUCUUCUUUUACUUAGCUUAGUUUGAAUUUAAUUUUUCAAUUAUGAAUAAUUAGAAAUAUAUGCACACAUCUUUGGACAUGUCAUAUGACACUUGAGAGGCUUACCCAAACUCUCAUGAACUUAGGUGGGAAGAAUGACUACUCAAUAGCAAGAACCUUCAAUUUUCCAAGGAUUUUCUAUAAAUGUAUGGAAUUUUUAAAAAUUAUUUUCUAAAAUACUGUAAAUCAGAAAAUAAUUCCAAUUUUAUGACACUUUUGGACACAUAGGAUAAAGGUGGAAAAAAAAAUUAUAUUUUAACUUUUUUGACUCAACCUAUUUCUAUACCUCUUGAAUUUGAUUUUAUAUUGAAGAUGUUUUUUCGAGAGACAUCUUAAAUCUUAGGUAUACAUGUAAAAGAAUUGAAUUUAAAAUAAAAGUGUCUUGAAAUUUGAAUUUAUAGUAAAAGGUGUUUUUUAAAAAGACAAUUUUCACGAUUUCACAAAAUCCAAUAUAUACUAAAAGUGUCUCUUAAAAAUACAAUUUCACAAAAUUCAAUACAUACUAAAGGUGUGUCUCUUCAAUAAAUUUUAUACUACAAGUGUCUUCUGGAUUUGAUUUUAUAUAGAAAAUAUCUUUCACAAUUCUAAAAAAAAAAUCCAAUAUAUACUAAAGGUGUCUUUACACCUUCCACAGUUUCACAAAUUUUAAUUUAUACUACAAGUAUCUCUUAAUUUUGAUUUUAUAUUGAAGGUAAACACUUUCUACAAUUCGAAAAAAAAAAAAAAGGAUUUUUAUUAAAGGUGUCUCUUAAAGAGGCACCUUCUACAAUUUCGCAAAAUUCAAUAUAUACUAAAGGUAUUUCUUCAAAAAAUGUCUUCUAUAUAAAAUCAAAUUUAAGAAACACUUGUAGUAUAAAUUAAAAUUUGUGAAAUUGUUGAAGGAGAAAAUUAAAAAUAAAAUUAAAAUUCAAGACACCUUUAAUAUAUAUUAAAAUUUGUGGAAGUGUGGAAAAUGUUUUUUUAAAGGAUACCUUUAUUAUAAAUCCAUUUAAAAAAAAAUUGUAGAAUGUGUCUCUUUUAAUAUAAAAUCAAAUCCAAGAGACAUUUGUACUAUAAAUUAAAACUUGUGAAAUUGUGAAAAGUGUUUUUUGAAGAAACACCUUUAAUAUAUAUUGAAUUUUAUCACCUUUAGUAUAAAUCCAAAAAAAAAAUUAAUAUAAAAUCAAAUUCAAGAGACAUUUAUGAUAUAAAUUAAAAUUUGUGAAAUUGUGUAAGGUAUGUCUUGAAGGGACACCUUUAGCAUAUAUUGGAUUUUGUUGAAUUAUGGAAAGCGUAUUUUCAAGAGAUAUUUUCAGUAUAAAUCCAAUUUUUUGGAAUUAUAGAAGGUGUUUCUUAAAGAAACACCUUUAAUUUAAAUUCAAUUCUUCUAAGUGAAUAUCAAAUAUUUGAAAAUUGUAAAAAGUGUCUCUUCAAAAACACCCCGAAGACAUGGUAAUUCAAUGAAAAUAUGUUUAUAUACUUAUUUGGAAGUUAUUUUUCUUAAUUUGUUGGUCUAGGUUACAAGUGCCUACAAAGAGGAGCAGAUUGAGGAUCUGAAAAAUGAAUUGAAAAUGGAAUUAUACAUAGUGUUGACUAUAAGAAUUUUAGUGGAUUCAAAUGUCUUAGUCAACUAAACUAUUCUAAUUUUAGUAAAUGGUAUGCACAAAAUGACAAUUCAUUUUGAUGAUUCCAAUCUAUUUUAAAUACCAAAGAAAGUUUUGAUUUUUUUUUAUUUACAAAAAAUGCUUCAAAGUACUUUUCAUAAAAUAAAAAAAAAAGAAUUAUUUUCACAAAUUUUAUUUACCAACAUUCCAAUUUGAUUUUCAUGCAGAAAGAAACUAUUUUUAUAAUUUUUAUUAAAAUAUGAUUUUUUUUUUCAAUUUUUUUUUUAAAGUAUCUAAAUCUAAUCUUAUGUCCAAGAGAAUACUUUUACAAAUUCUUUAAGAAAAGGAUUUUUAAAAUUUUAUUUUUUUCUAAAAAAAAUUACAAAUUUAUUUAGAAAAGAAUAAAUAUUGGGAUCCAAUUUUAAUUACACAAAAAAUUAUUUUUUUUUAUUGAAAAUAAGAUUUUUACAUUUUUAUUUACAUAAGUAUGAAAAUCCAUUUCCAUUUUAUUUACUAAAAUGCAUUAUUUUUUUUUUACUAUUUUUAAUAAGACAUGAUUUUUACAAUUUUUUUUAAAGUUUACGAUUUUAUUAAAAAAAAGGUUUUGCAAUUUUUUUUUAACAAAUUUUUUAAUGUUUUAUUAAAACAAAAUGAUUUCUAGAUUUUAUUUUUAAAAAAUGAUUUUCAAAAGUUAUAAAUAAAUAAAUAAAUAAAUAUCGAUUUUCCAACUGUAUUUACAAUUGAUUUAAAAACGGAUUUUACAGUUUUUUUAAAAAACACAUUUUAUUGUUUUAGCUCAUUAAUUUUAAUGUUAAGGUAUCAGCCCAAUUGACUUGAUUUAUAUUAACUUAAAACUUUUGUUCUAAUAGGUACCUUGAUACAACGGCAAAGCCUCGAUUUAUACAGGAGGUCUUGAAGGUGAACUGUGAACCUUACUUAUGUGUACUCAAUUCUGGAAGGUUGUCAACGUUGCCGAUUUUGAACUUCAAUAUUCAGCUCAACAUAGUUUUAGGAUGUCACAUUAGGCAGUCUGGAAGUUUCAUUCAUCUAGUUCAGAUGUGUAAGUUCUGACAUUCAGCUUGGCAAAUUUUGGAAUGAUAAUUGGAUCUAGGAUGGCAUGGCACUCUGUUUGAGCAGGAAGAGUUUUGGAGUUUGGGGUUGGUGGACAAGAUGUGUCCCUGAAAAGAGAUUGAUGCCUACCAUUGAGCUUCUCAAUCACUUGGUUUAGAAAUUAUAGUUUUAGGUCACAGGAAAAUGAAAAAAAAUGUGCAAUGCACCACAAAAACAAUUACAUCAUUACCUAGCUCUCAUAUUCCCAAUGAAUUGACCUAGCCAUAGUCGUGGUCCCCCAAUCCAACUGCCCUUAUCAUAACCUGUCAAACCAUAAUAUUUAAAUAUGGGACAUUUUAUGCAUUCAUCAUGUGAAGAUCAAAUAAAACAACAGAGAUCGAUACAACAAAUUCACGUUACAUAAUAAAAAGCAAUAUCAAACGAGGCAAACAAACCUUAAUAGACCAAAGCCACCAAGCAGCAAUUGAAAAAACCACGAAGGGUUUAUCCCCAUACAUAUACUUUGGAAAAUGAAACAGAAGCUAGAAUAUACCAUCUUUAUUUGUGUAACAUAUCUCCACUCUCAUAUUGGCACAGGGUCUAUGAGCAGCAUUGAAAUAUUAUUUUUCAUCACUUCUCCAAGAUGUGUAAAUUCAUCUUUCUGCCCCUUGUACAUCACAUCUGCUGCUCGAGCAAAAUUGAGAAGACGACUAAGGAGAAGCAUUGGAACUGCAGUAGGUUUGAGGCACUCUUCAUUUAUAUCCUUCCAUGCAUUCUCGAGUUGCUUGUGAAACUCCUCAUAUGCUUGUUGCUCGGAGACACCAUGUUGCUUCAUGUAACAUUCGAUACUUGAUGCAAUAUG
rnacentral:lncRNA from 1 species